GUUGCCAGAAACUUUCGGAAGAUCGGGCCACACUUAUUCUCCCCAAGUGGUAAUCAAAGCUUCAGACAUAACGUUAGGUUCACAUCUACCCUUAGUUUCGAGUGUCGUUGUGUUUGUCCCAUAAGUCUGGUGCCAUAUUGUUUUCAUGUCCUACAACCCAUCCGCGCCAUAGCCUUUGCAUAUUUCAGUUUCAGAGUCCGUAGUGUUGAGUUUGUGUCCUGGUCGAGGUCUUGUUACUCGUUAGGUCUUGUUAGAGUCCAAUUUGUGUGUUUCUUCCCACCGUUUCCAUCAAUUUAUAGCCACCGCCGCAAAUUUUCCCACUUCUGGACUGUUUUGUCCUCUAAUUCGGAGUCCGUUCUUAAAACAGCCAUAACUUUCGCAUACGAACUCCGAUUUUGACGUUCCAUAUAUCAAAAUCGAUCAGAAAAAAUUUUUUGGGUCUGUCUAUGCCCGCCAAAGGCGGGUUCGACAAAUUUAGAAUCCCCAAAUUCGCCUCUGAAGUUUGAGUUUUCACCUCCUAAAGUUUUCUUUAUAUUUUUCGCAAUCUUCAAAAGUUUCCACAGGACACGUCUUUCACUUGUUCAAGCUCAAAUUUCCUGUGGUUACUUCUUGAGUGCUCCUAAGUAAAAGAAAAAUAUCAAAAAAAUAAAAUAAAAAGAAUUGCAGGUUUCGAACCGUGUUGUUCGCAAGCUGGAUUGAUUUGUCUCUUUUCCACCAAAUCGAUAGUUGCCAGAAACUUUUGGAAGAUCGAGCCACACUUAUUCUCCUCAAGUGGUAAUCAAAGCUUCAGACAUAACGUUAGGUUCACAUCUACUAUUAGUUUCGAGUGUCCUUGUGUUCGUCCCAUAAGUCUGGUGCCAUAUUGUUUUCAUGUCC
rnacentral:lncRNA from 1 species